rnacentral:rRNA from 1 species
GACGGAAGGUGCAAGCGUUGCUCGGAAUCACUGGGCGUAAAGGGUGCGUAGGCGGCCGUUCAAGUCUGGCGUGAAAGCCCCGGGCUCAGCCCGGGAAGUGCGCUCGAAACUGCGCGGCUCGAGUGCCGGAGGGGAGAGUGGAAUUCCUGGUGUAGCGGUGAAAUGCGUAGAUAUCAGGAGGAAUACCGGUGGCGAAAGCGACUCUCUGGACGGCAACUGACGCUGAGGCACGAAAGCGUGGGGAGCAAACAGG